UACGGGGGGGGCAAGCGUUGUUCGGAUUUACUGGGCGUAAAGGGCGCGUAGGCGGCAAUUCAAGUCACUUGUGAAAUCUCUGAGCUUAACUCAGAACGGUCAAGUGAUACUGCUUUGCUAGAGUGCAGAAGGGGCAACCGGAAUUCUUGGUGUAGCGGUGAAAUGCGUAGAUAUCAGGGGGAAUACCAGUGGCGAAAGCGGCACCCUAGCGUUAGCCUGACGCUCAUGUGCGAAAGCGUGGGGAGCGAACGGG
rnacentral:rRNA from 1 species